CAAGGGUACGCGCCGGGUGAGACUCCGCCUCCCUCGCUGGUUGGCCGGGGGCGGAGGCACCUGACCCGGGGCGGCCAAUCCUCGCAUUGGCAGGGCCGGGCCGGCGUGUUCGGGAGCUCAACCUGGCUGAUCUGCCCCGCCUGGCGGCGCAGCGAGGCGCGGACAGACUGACCGGCAGGGGGCGGCAAAGGGCGGCUCGGGCCGCCUGGACGCGCUACUAAGGGGCCCGCGGCGGGGCGACGAUUAGCAAUUCCCGGACGUCCACUCGGCCGAAAGACCGACUUUCAUGAACGUUCCAGGACAGAGCUACUGCGGCCCAGAAGUUUCUGGGAAGAGCACUGGCUUCCAACAAGACCCACUUCUACCAAACCACAGUUUCCAUCCAUGGCCGUAAACGCUGUGAGGCUGGAGAGGGAGAGCUGCAGCCGGCGGCUGCCCUGAGCUUGGCUGGGAGGACACGGCGGUGGAGACGGCCCUCCUGCCACCAUGGAAGGGGCUCGAAAAUGGACAACGAGCAUUAGUAUUUUGAUAUGUUAUUUUUUUUUAAUUCUUAUUUUUUAUCGAAGUGUAGUCGAUUUACAAUGUUAGUUUCAGGUGUACAGCAAAGCUUCAGUUAUACAUAUACCUACGUACAUUUAUAUUUUUUUUUCAGUUUUUUUCCAUUAUGUUGGUAUAUGAUUAUAUCAGCUUUAUUGGUGUAUUUACAUUAAAAUGUAAGACUUUAUGUAAGCAACCAGAUGGAUUCUUCCAUAUGGCUCCAUGCAGAUCAAGGUAUAGCACAUUUCAGCCUCUCCAAAGCCCCCACCAAGGGCAACUACUAUUUUGACUUUUACCACCAUAGAUUAAUUUUUUUUUUGGUGCUUUAUAAAAAUUGAAUCAGGUAGUAUGUGCCCUCUUGGGUCUGGCUUCUUUCACUCAACAUUAUUGUAUGUUAUUUGUCUAUAUGUUAUUGUAAUAAUAACAAUAAAAAUAAUAGUUGCUUCCC